GCCGCCAGGAGGCGACCGACCCCGGCGACGCUCGAUCCGGUGAUGCGUCGGUGCGCCAGUCGAGGCACCGCCGCCGCUGCCACGAGCGGCCGCGCGGACGGUCUUCUUCCCCGGCCGUCUGCCGCCCUGUCUCCUUCCCCUCCCCCUCCUGCGCUCCUUUCUUCAUUCAGUGCGGCUCGGCGACUGGGUUCCCGUCGGCGAGGUCGUCGGCGCAGAAGGUGCCAAGAGAGAGGCAGGAGGCGCAGAGAGAUCUGAGCAGGGGAGUCCUCGGAAUAAAUCACGCCAAAACCGAAAGCGCGCAACAGAAACACACACCACAACGGAAGCAGUUGUUGAAGUUGCCGCCCAGCACUUUGUUGGUGAUGAUCGCAAAUGGGGCUUCCUUGCUGUUACAGAAGCAGUGAAAGCAUGCGUCAGGUUAGCCGCUUUCAAGGAGAGUGGCUAGAGGAUGCUCUUACAAGGAGGGGAGGUGGAAAACGAAGAGGAGGAUAUUCUUCAAGACAAUCAGGUAGUCAAGACCAAUGGAGUGCCAGUAAUCUAUCCGGUGAAUGGACAUUCCCAGAAAUGGCCAUUUGAUUACGUCUCAUGGUCCAGAUGGAAAACCUGGAUUUGUAUCUAAGAGUCUGGAGGGAAGAGCAGUAGCCGCUUUAAACAGGUUUGGUCAGAAUGCAAAGAUGUUGUCAGAUCCCACUUGGAUGAGCAGGCUCCAACCUUCUCCUGUUCCUCCUGUGAUGGAGAUUGAGAAGCCAACUUUCACGACCAUUUGGUCUCCUAAAGGGGUUUCUGGGCGCUUAUUUAUGUUAGGGAGACCGUCCAUAUAUUCAGACCACUUAUAUACGUGCUUCUGAUAAGAAAGUUUGGAAUCAAAUCUUGGACCCCGUGGUUGGUUUCACUAGCUGUGGAGCUCACAAGCCUUGGCAUUCAUUCGCAUGCAACAGAUCUGAAUCAUAGAGCUGGAAAAGUUCAUCAGCUCUCAUCUGCUGAGAGGGAUGAGUUGAAAAGGCGAAAAAUGACGUGGGCACUUUAUGUCAUGAGGGAUCCGUUCUUUGCCAGCUACACCAGGCGUCAUCUUGAGAAGGCUGAGAAAGCGCUGAAUCCAGUGCCGCUUAUCAGUUUCAUCACAGGUAAACUCGUGGAACUAUUGGAGGGGGCUCAGUCGCGCUAUACAUAUACAUCAGGCUCGUAGAGGAUGAUUGGGAUAGAUUUACCUGCUUCUGCUGGAGAGCUUCCUUGCUGAUCUGCCAUACUGGACUUUUGCUGGUUCCUGGAUUUUGUUUUCAGUAGAUCAGGAUUUGAGUGAAACCAUGUCUGUCCUUUGCCAUUUCCUAGACAGUUUUGGCAUCGCUGUCUUGAGGCCUUGGCUGAGAAGUUACAGCCACAUAACCUCACUCCUGAUGGCAGUUGGGAAUGUAAUUAUACAGUAUGUUGGUCUAAUGUCACGAAUAGGCACGCAAGCAAUACCGUUGUAUUUACCAGAAAAAUGAAGGUCAUAAUAAGUUCAUUCUUAAA